AAGACUAUACUUUCAGGGAUCGUUUCCAUAGGUCUUAACUUGAGAAAUGUGUUUCUAAAGUGUGAGUCCCGCCACCCACGACGACGAGUUGCGGCGUUUCUUUCUGAGCGCGAAGCGGGUCCAGGGAAGUGAUUUGAUCACAGGCUCUGUACUAUUGAUGACCGUUCAAUGUUCCUUAUGGGAGCAUCGAGGGAAGGAGCGCGUUCAGAG